rnacentral:rRNA from 1 species
CAAUAGCGUAUAUUAAAGCUGUUGCGGUUAAAAAGCUCGUAGUUGGAUUUCUGUCAAGGACAACUGGUCCGCCCCUCGGGUGAGCACAUAGUUUGGUCUUGGCAUCUUGUUGGAAACUGUUGCUGCACUUGGUUGUGUGGCGCAGUGUCCAGCACUUUCACUUUGAGGAAAUUGGAGUGUUUCAAGCAGGCACAUGCCUUUGGACACAGUAGCAUGGAAUAAUUAGAUUGGGCUUUUGCUCCAACUUGUCGGUUUCUGGAGCUGAGGUGAGAAUUAAUGGGGAUUGUUGGGGGCAUCCGAAUUUAGCCGUCAGAGGUGAAAUUCUUGGAUCUGCUAAAGACGGACAACUGCGAAAGCGUUUGCCCAGGAUGUUUUCGUUGA